GAAUUCACUAGUGAUUAGGCCUAACACAUGCAAGUCGAGCGGAGAUGAGGUGCUUGCACCUUAUCUUAGCGGCGGACGGGUGAGUAAUGCUUAGGAAUCUGCCUAUUAGUGGGGGACAACAUUCCGAAAGGAAUGCUAAUACCGCAUACGCCCUACGGGGGAAAGCAGGGGAUCUUCGGACCUUGCGCUAAUAGAUGAGCCUAAGUCGGAUUAGCUAGUUGGUGGGGUAAAGGCCUACCAAGGCGACGAUCUGUAGCGGGUCUGAGAGGAUGAUCCGCCACACUGGGACUGAGACACGGCCCAGACUCCUACGGGAGGCAGCAGUGGGGAAUAUUGGACAAUGGGCGGAAGCCUGAUCCAGCCAUGCCGCGUGUGUGAAGAAGGCCUUUUGGUUGUAAAGCAAUUAAGCGAGGAGGAGGCUACCUGGAUUAAUACUCUAGGAUA
rnacentral:rRNA from 1 species